rnacentral:sRNA from 1 species
UGUAUCUGGAGCCAGCGAGGAUGAGAACCUCCGGGGGCGGGAGGUUCGACCCGAGCGAAGCGAGAGAACGUUGCGCGAGCAACGGCCCGCAGG